CUAGGACUGUGUGGAGAGGCAGACACUCUCUAGACAGGAGCUUUUGGGGGCCGGCUGGGUGUCACCUCCGCUCUCACGGGUGCAUGGUGAAGCUCUGGAGGUCCCUCAAGCACCAUCUGAGGCAAGACCCAGUCGGCCAGCACACACCUCAUCAGAGGGUCCCAGCUGGGCUCCUGGUGGCUCACGGCCACCUCUUAACUCAGCUCCCAGAAGACAGCAAACCUCUGAGCACACCUGUACUCACAUCCACUCUCAGACAAACCAAAAGAAUCUGCACAGCGAAAGAAAACCCCAGGGCAAGUCUGGCAAGCAGCGGCCUCCACACCUGUCUCCCCACUGUAAGGCUCUUGGAGCGCAGCGCCUUGGUGUCGUUCUGCUUGAAGUUGACGGCCUGGUGGUCCAGGGACUUGAG